AUGUACAAUGCACAUGUGGCAGCAAGAUGGCCCACUCUGUGUUUGUACCAACUGGGCUAUCUUGUUGCCACAUGUGCAUUGUGUGGGCCAUCAUUGUGUACAAAUAGCGUUUCUGCUUAACAUAUUGAGGUUUCUAAUAGCAUUUCUGCUUAAGUAUUGAGGUUUCGAAAGAGGAGUUUCUGGGGGAAAUUUAUAUCAAGGUUUAGACUUGACAUCAUGCAAUGGAACUUUUGGCCAUGUACAAGGGUGCCCUUUUGGAUUAUUAACACUUCAAUGGAAUAAGAAUUGGGAACCCUUCCCUCCUUGCUGUUUUGGCAGUCUGGAUCAGUUAUAAGCUGCAAUGUUGUACUUCGGGUGUUCUUUGUGGCCAGAAACCUCCCUAUGGGAGAGCCAUGGCAGCACUGGAACCAAACAUAUGCUCACUCUUAUCUCGGUUGUGAAAGUUUGUUAACCAGUGACAGCUUCUCGUGCUGUGGUAUUAUGUGUAGGAGAGGGGUUUGCUGUAACAUGAUAGCAUGGUUUAAAAACUCCAAGCUUCUAGGAUGGACUUGAACCAUUAGGGAAGGAGACCUAUGAAGGAUAUGACCGGUUCAGAUACUUCAUUGCUGAAGAAGACCUCUAUUGCAGAUGACGAAAGCCAACAGCAAUAAAUGAUGGCUUUAUUCAGGAAAAAAGUUCUUCUGCUACAUGCGGGGUUUGACGACACGGUAUUGCUAGAUCAUGCCAUCAUUUGAACGAGGAAUGGACUUUUGCAUCGACAGAAAUACUACUCGUGGGGAGGAGCGAGAUGGGCGGUUGCUGGCAACAUCUCCAAGGUGUACUACAGGCUUUGCCUGGCUUUAAUUAGGCAUCUGCUAGUGGGCGGAAUUAUUGUUCCACAGAUUAGUCGGUUCAUGGGCCUGGUACCAAGUUAUCAAAAACAUAAAGUGUGUUCUCCAUGCAAAUGAAAGGCAUCUGCAUUUUUCUCUGUUCCCUUGGAUGAAUUCAUUUUUAUUAGUCGUUCUUUCUUUCCAAUUGGCUACCGGUUUCUUUUCAAUGUUUUGGUACUUUUCAGAUUCUUUUUUCUUGAACUUGUGUGCAAAGAGGGAAAUGAUCCGUUGAUGUUUGACCGUUUCAGUUUGAUCUUUGGGGGUGUAAACAUUGGAAUCCAUUUUCCUCAUUGUUUCUGCAAUUUAAAUUUUUUGCAUUA